rnacentral:rRNA from 1 species
GCGCAGCAGGCGAGAAUUUUUCUCAAUGGGGGAAACCCUGAAGGAGCGACGCCGCGUGGAGGAUGAAGGCUUUCGGGUUGUAAACUCCUGUCAUUUGAGAACAAGUGCUAGUAACUAACUACUGCUAGCUUGAUAGUAUCAGAAGAGGAAGGGACGGCUAACUCUGUGCCAGCAGCCGCGGUAAUACAGAGGUCCCAAGCGUUGUUCGGAUUCAUUGGGCGUAAAGGGUGCGUAGGUGGCGCCGUAAGUGGGGUGUGAAAUUUCGGAGCUCAACUCCGAAACUGCAUUCCAUACUGCGGUGCUUGAGGACUGGAGAGGAGACUGGAAUUUACGGUGUAGCAGUGAAAUGCGUAGAGAUCGUAAGGAAGACCAGUGGCGAAGGCGGGUCUCUGGACAGUUCCUGACACUGAGGCACGAAGGCUAGGGGAGCAAACGGGAUUAGAUACCCCUGUAGU